rnacentral:rRNA from 1 species
UACGUAGGGUGCAAGCGUUGUCCGGAAUUAUUGGGCGUAAAGAGCGCGUAGGCGGUGUGUCACGUCGUUCGUGAAAACCUGCAGCUUAACUGUGGGCGUGCGGUCGAUACGGGCAUCACUGGAGUUCGGCAGGGGAGACUGGAAUUCCUGGUGUAGCGGUGAAAUGCGCAGAUAUCAGGAGGAACACCGGUGGCGAAGGCGGGUCUCUGGGCCGAAAUUGACGCUGAGGAGCGAAAGCGUGGGGAGCAAACAGG